UGAUUGCUAACGAGAUGUACUAGGUGUAGCAAGAGAUGAAGGAUAUUUAGUGUCCUGGAAAUUAGGUGGAUUUUUUUUUUAAUUAAAAUUGCCAUGGAGAUGGUUCAAGACGAGGCUCUUGGAAGUUUUAUGAUUUCAUCAAAGCCUCUUUUCUGUUUCUAGUUGAUUAGAGACAUUUUUAACACAUUUUGAACAUACUAUUUAGGUGACAUUUUAACAGGCUCUGCUAUUAACUAUUCACUUUUGUUUAAAAUCUGUGAUUGAGCAAAUGAAUUAAAAAAUACAGGGAGGAAAGGAAUAUGAACAAAAGAACAAAGCUGAGAAUUUUGCACAUUGUGAUGUUCUGAUUUGUGAUGUACAUGAGUAGGUAUUGUCAGUGUAUAGGACUGAUUCCUACUGCUGUAAGCAAUACAUUACAAAAUGGUUUCUUUGUAUCACAGACUCUGGCUUCAUUGAAGUUGGAUGAUAGGGAAAGGAAGGCAUCCUCACCUCUCUGAGCUCACAUACUCCUUUUAAGGAAGACAACAGCUACAUCCUGUAUAGGAGGCCAGAUGCUGCAAAGAUCUAGUCACCAAACAAAACCUCAUUGUCAAGACAUGAAAAGAUGAUCCCUGCCUUGUUCUUCCACAGAUUAUCGCAUGUUUUCUUUCCUUUACAGGACCAAACAUGGAGACAAAGGACUACUAGACUGCUGAGCCGAGAUUCGUGCCAUGACAUGAAUUCUUCUUUUCACCGAACAGCACAGCCAAGUCUCUUCAUAUCUUCAGAAGAUAAUGAAGAGCACUACAAUGAAUCAUUUUCUUUGGGAGAGGUCCUAAGAGGACAGCUGAGAGAAGGAUUUACUUUUGAGGAAGCUCAAAGGAUUCCAUCAUUCCCUCUUCAUUUCUUUCUAUGGAAGAAAAAAAAAAGGCGAGAGAGAUACAGCCAGCAUGACAGUAUAGACAAAGUAGUUCUCUCUUCCACAUGCAGAAGAACUGAAUCUAUAUGUUCUGUAUCUCUAGCAGCAGAUAGCUAUAGUAAAUCCUUCCCCACAGUGCUAGGGACAUUAAGGUUUAGCAAAAGACAGAGGCAUCCAAGCACAAACAUACCUCACUCAGGGCUGCGUGUCACUAUAUGAUCAGUCAUCAACUCUUCAGCUUCCAGCUGCCCCAGUUAGCUACUACCCUACCAUCAUAUUAUGCUCUCUCCCCUCCCCAUACAGAUGGAUGACCCAAGGACUAUAUCCCUUCUAGGAAUUUUAAAGGUUAAAAAAAAAAAAAGCCCACCCUCCCCCAUCCCUUUUCUGGUUUCAUUUCUUAGUGAACCGACAAACCUACAAACUCUUAAAUGUUUCUAUUUGCUCUGAAUUCAGCCAAGUUUAAUCCUAUUAAGACAGGACAAUUAGCACCUGCUAGACUUACACUACCUCAUAAAGAUUCUGCUAGAAACCAGGAUUGCUCAUUUAUUUCCUUCUUCCUUACUUUCAACUGCUGUACCACCUACCUAGCACCAAUUGUCUAAAGCUCUCCACUUUUAAGUCCUCCUUUGCAGUCUAAUAUCUUCCUCAGAUAUAUAGACAAGUCAGAUAUCAAUUAAUGGCAGUAUGUUAACUCUCCCAUUGCUGAUAGGGUGUUUCAGAUCCUAUUACAGCAGGAUACCCAGGUAUCCUUACAUCUGUAAGUAGUGCAGAGUAUCUAUGGAGAUAGUCCCUGUCUAAAACUUUCCCCUUCUGUUUCCUUAUUAGACAUCAGACUUCUAGAUAAUAAUGAACUUCUCAGUCUGUUCAGCACAUUAGGAGAGAGGUGGUAGUUUUAUUGCUGCAGUAUCAGUAAGUUCCUUGAAUAUAAUACUCACAAUUAAUUAAGAAGUCACUCCAAAGUUUUCUGAAAGAAGCAGAAUCAGGCUUUUCUGAAGAUACCCACCUCUACUAGAAACUAACAUGAAAAAUCUACCAUAUGAUUAAGUACUAGCUGAAUAUUAAUAAUUAUAUAUAUAUUUGGUACUUUACCAUUAAAUAAUAUGAGCCUACUGACAUCUGUGUCUUAUUUGUAGCCCUAGCAUCUUUUAAUCCUAAUCAUGGCUAAGUAAGUAAACAAGCAUUGCUGAAAAUGGGAGAAGAAGAGAAAUAACUGCCAUCCUUAUAAUCACAGAACAAAAGGCCACAUGCUAGAAAUGUCAGUCAUCAUAUCCUUAAGCAACCACACUAAGCAGACAAGUAGUAUAUUUCAUUAAGCUAUCAUGUCAAUAAAGUAUCAGCAGGAUCUGAAAGUCUGGCUUAAGUGCCCCUGCUUUUUAGUUUCCAUGUAUACAUUUUUAGACUCUGUACAUAUUGUCACUCCCCAAAGCACCUAUAUCCUAAAUGUAAACAUUGGGUAAUGAAGGGAGUUUUUACCCCAAUACUUCCCAUAACUAAGAAUUAAAGUUUAGAACUUUGUGCAAAAUCUGUUGUUUAGGUGCCUGAAUGCAAUACCCUGGCUCAAGUGCAAACAAGUACACCAGUGUCAUAAAACAAGCAAGAACAUUACCAAAGCUCAAGGCUCAAGACUGCAGUGUAAUGAGUCACUUACUAUGCAGCAGUGGAGCCACAUGCUCUUGGCCUGCCCCCUGUUUGAGGAAAAAUGUGUUCAUUUAAGUGUCAGUGAAAAAGAUUUAAGAUAAUACAUUUUUGCCUUGUGUUUGUGAGGGUCUAGAAGUAUGCAUGUGGUUGAGCCCCCAGCGUUGACUAACACAUAGUACCUCUUUAACCAACAGUAACUUGAUUAUCUCUCUGAACCCUGAACUGAACCACAGCAGUCAGUUAAGAUUAGAAUUCAACAGAAAGCAAGAGACUGUCAGAGAGUUUGUAAAUCUAACUCCUUAAAUUGCAAGGGAGCUCCAAUGAGAAGCAGUAUUUUAUUGCGGAUUUUCUUUAGAGACACCAUGUCAGCAUUUUUGUAAAGAAAGGCCUAUUGUCUCACAGA